CGGACGGGUGAGUAAUGUCUGGGAAACUGCCCGAUGGAGGGGGAUAACUACUGGAAACGGUAGCUAAUACCGCAUAACGUCGCAAGACCAAAGAGGGGGACCUUCGGGCCUCUUGCCAUCGGAUGUGCCCAGAUGGGAUUAGCUAGUAGGUGGGGUAAAGGCUCACCUAGGCGACGAUCCCUAGCUGGUCUGAGAGGAUGACCAGCCACACUGGAACUGAGACACGGUCCAG
rnacentral:rRNA from 1 species